rnacentral:rRNA from 1 species
UACAGAGGUCUCAAGCGUUGUUCGGAUUCAUUGGGCGUAAAGGGUGCGUAGGCGGCGCGGUAAGUCGGGUGUGAAAUUUCGAGGCUUAACUUCGAAACUGCAUUCGAUACUGCCGUGCUAGAGGACUGGAGAGGAGACUGGAAUUUACGGUGUAGCGGUGAAAUGCGUAGAUAUCGUAAGGAAGACCAGUGGCGAAGGCGGGUCUCUGGGCCGUAACUGACGCUGAGGAGCGAAAGCAUGGGGAGCGAACAGG